GGGCGAAAGCCUGAUGCAGCAACGCCGCGUGAAGGAAGAAGGGUUUCGGCUCGUAAACUUCUAUCAACAGGGACGAAAAAAAUGACGGUACCUGAAUAAGAAGCCCCGGCUAACUACGUGCCAGCAGCCGCGGUAAUACGUAGGGGGCAAGCGUUAUCCGGAAUUACUGGGUGUAAAGGGAGAGUAGGCGGCAUGGUAAGUUAGAUGUGAAAGCCCGAGGCUUAACCUCGGGAUUGCAUUUAAAACUAUCAAGCUAGAGUACAGGAGAGGUAAGUGGAAUUCCUAGUGUAGCGGUGAAAUGCGUAGAUAUUAGGAAGAACACCAGUGGCGAAGGCGACUUACUGGACUGAAACUGACGCUGAGGCUCGAAAGCGUGGGGAGCGAACAGGAUUAGAUACCCUGGUAGUCCACGCUGUAAACGAUGAGUGCUAGGUGUCGGGGGGGAACCCUCGGUGCCGCAGCUAACGCAAUAAGCACUCCACCUGGGGAGUA
rnacentral:rRNA from 1 species